GUCUCUCACGGUUCAACCACAUGGUGGUUGUGAAUAACUGCCCAGCAUCUACCAGUUUUUGAUGGAAAACAAAGGAAUAAUGAAAUGACAAAAAACCAAACAAAACAAACCCCCAAACUGUCUAGAUAAAACAUAAAGGCCUUGUGAAGUUAAACACAAAGUUAUCUUACACAAUACCUAUAUUUCUUGAGACUUGGUCAAAACAUUUCCCGAAGCAGACUGAAGUCAUGAUAAUACCGUCUUUGAGAAAUCUGAUUAACGGAGGC